UCUUAAGCGCACGCGAGUGGAACAAACGCCGGUGGAGUCCGAGGGCUUUUGUUCCAGCAAGCACCAGCCUGUCAACCGGCGCGAUCCAUGAGAUCCCGUGCGUGAAAUCGUCUUAACAAUUCGAUCUCUGUUCGAUUCGACGAUGGAACGUUUGUUCGACCGUGUUACGCGGGUCUCGCUGCGCCGAAACCCCUUUAGCGUCGCAGUUGGUUCGCGCCAUUGCCGAUUCUCGGGACAUCGCGAUUUUGAUAGUCGCUAAACAGCUAAAUCCGUAAAAAUAGACAUAUCCUGCCCGCCGUAAGAAGAGACUUCAGGUUGCACCGGAAACCGGUAAUAAAAAGCCUUUAUUAGAGCGAAGAAAUGAAAACUUAAUUCGCGAGGCACGACAAAAUUUUGAUGACGGUUCACGGCGAACAUUCGUGUGUUGGUCGCAGUUUAUUCGAUGUGUUUUUAUUUUGCGACGGAAGAAAAUGUGUCUCGUGCAUAGUUCGCAGCAAAGGGAAUUUUAAUUAAAGGUCAAAGUCGUAGAAGACUAUG